rnacentral:rRNA from 1 species
GACGUAGGGGGCCAGCGUUGUUCGGAAUUACUGGGUGUAAAGGGCGCGUAGGCGGUGCGGUAAGUCACCUGUGAAACCUCUGGGCUUAACUCAGAGCCUGCAGGCGAAACUGCCGUGCUGGAGUGUGGGAGAGGUGCGUGGAAUUCCCGGUGUAGCGGUGAAAUGCGUAGAUAUCGGGAAGAACACCAGUGGCGAAGGCGGCUCACUGGUCCGGUACUGACGCUGAGGUGCGAAAACGUGGGGAGCAAACAGG